GGAGAAAUUCAAUAUUGCCCUUAACCGGCAAUGUGCACUUUUCUCUUAKUAAGACGCUGUGAUCCAUUAGAAAUCGACCAUGCCAAUGGUUANNNNUGGGCUAUCAAUAGGCCGACAUGAAGUUCAGUGGUGCAAAUGGCGCAAUCUUUAAUGGUCGUGUGUAUUGCCCGCUGAGCAUGCCGGUACCUGAAAUAGCUGUCUGAUGGAUUUUAAAGGCCAUAUUACUAAUGCCACGGCAUUACUCAUUUCGAUGGGAGUGGAUAUGUGCCCGAUCAACAGCGGUUAAAUUUGUGAUACCUUUGGGACCCGUCUUGAAACACGGACCAAGGAGUCUAUCUAGUAUGCAAGUAAAUGGGUAUAUGAAACCUAUUUGCAUAAAAAACUUGACUUUUAUGGGAUUACGAGUACAUGUCACAGUGUGCUCCUCCAUCCCGGGGUAUUUUCGUCAACAUA
rnacentral:rRNA from 1 species